AAUCAAUAGAAUCGACCGAUUCAAACUCUUGGCCGAGAAGAAGAGGACAGGAAGAUCGAAUGAUAAGUGUAGAGUACACGAGCGGCGGACGGGUGAGUAACACGUGGGAAUCUACCCCAAAACUGAGGGAUAAGCAUCGGAAACGGUGUCUAAUACCGCAUAUGGUCUUCGGGAUUAAAGCUUCGGCGGUUUGGGAAGAGCCCGCGUAAGAUUAGCUAGUUGGUGAGGUAAUGGCCCACCAAGGCGUCGAUCUUUAGCUGGUUUGAGAGGAUGAUCAGCCACACUGGAACUGAGACACGGUCCAGACUCCUACGGGAGGCAGCAGUUAGGAAUUUUUCACAAUGGGGGCAACCCUGAUGGAGCAACGCCGCGUGCAGGAUGAAGGUUUUCGGAUUGUAAACUGCUUUUGUACGUGAAGAAUAUGACGGUAGCGUACGAAUAAGGAUCGGCUAACUCCGUG
rnacentral:rRNA from 1 species